UGGAGGACCUGUCUUCCUGCUGUACUUUCCCUUUGUGCUAGCUCUCCUCCAUGUCUUCACAACAGUGAUGGAAGGGGGACUGGGAACCUCUUCGGACACAGAGGCUUCACGGUUGUACAGCCUUUGGCAGAAAUAUUACAAACUUCAUGAGGAGUUCAGUUGGAUGGGAAGCUUCCUCCAAAUGGACAAGCCCAGGAAGAUCAUGUCUGUCACCCCAGCGGCCAAGCCCCAGAGGCAGAGCUGCCUCACCAACUGUAGACAUACAAGGGGCCCACCAGAAACCAGCAGGGCCCUGCCUAAAUACUCAUCUCCCGGUGAGCCAAAGAAGUGGGUGUUGGGGACCACCGAAUCUUCAGGGCCUGUUAUGCAGCCACAGAUCACCGACACAGCAGGUACCAGGCAGAUACUGAUGA